rnacentral:rRNA from 1 species
AUGAGUUGUAUCAGUUGGAACUGUCGGGGGCUUGGGAACCCCCAGGCAGUUCGAGAGCUUCGCAACAUUGCGAAGUUGGAAGGUCCCACUCUCCUGUUCGUCAUGGAAACAAAAAUCAAAGGGAAGAGAGUUGAAGCUUUGCAAAAUCAGCUAGGUUUGGGUGGAUGUUUUGCCGUUGAUAGCAUGGGCCUAAGUGGUUGCUUGGGUCUCUUUUGGUCUAAAGAUGUAAUUGUUGAAUUGAAGAAUUUUAGUUCUGGACACAUAGAUGUGAUGGUGAAAUACAAGGACCAACACUCUUUUGAGUGGAGGUUUACUGGUUUUUUCGGAGCGCCCAGAGUGGAGGAUCGACAUCAUAGCUAG